rnacentral:rRNA from 1 species
CGGACGGGUGAGUAACACGUGGAUAACCUACCUAUAAGACUGGGAUAACUUCGGGAAACCGGAGCUAAUACCGGAUAAUAUAUUGAACCGCAUGGUUCAAUAGUGAAAGACGGUUUUGCUGUCACCUAUAGAUGGAUCCGCGCCGCAUUAGCUAGUUGGUAAGGUAACGGCUUACCAAGGCAGCGAUGCGUAGCCGACCUGAGAGGGUGAUCGGCCACACUGGAACUGAGACACGGUCCAGACUCCUACGGGAGGCAGCAGUA